rnacentral:rRNA from 1 species
AAAGUAGGCGGGAGGAGUGGUAUCGGAGAUGUGUGCGUAGGCCAUGUGAACUUAUCUCUUUGUUGCCUCGGCGCAAGCUACCCGGGACCUCGCGCCCCGGGGGGCCCGCCGGCGGACAAACCAAACUCUGUUAUCUUCGUUGAUUAUCUGAGUGUCUUAUUUAAUAAGUCAAAACUUUCAACAACGGAUCUCUUGGUUCUGGCAUCGAUGAAGAACGCAGCGAAAUGCGAUAAGUAAUGUGAAUUGCAGAAUUCAGUGAAUCAUCGAAUCUUUGAACGCACAUUGCGCCCAUUAGUAUUCUAGUGGGCAUGCCUGUUCGAGCGUCAUUUCAACCCCUAAGCACAGCUUAUUGUUGGGACUCUACGGCUUCGUAGUUCCCCAAAGACAUUGGCGGAGUGGCAGCAGUCCUCUGAGCGUAGUAAUUCUUUAUCUCGCUUUUGUUAGGCGCUGCCCCCCCGGCCGUAAAACCCCCAAUUUUUUCUGGUUGACCUCGGAUCAGGUAGGAAUACCCGCUGAACUUAAGCAUAUCAAUAAGCGGAGGAA